rnacentral:rRNA from 1 species
UCUGCAGCCAUACCACCUAAACAUGCCUUAUCUCAUCUGAUCUCAGAAGCUAAGCAGGGUCGGGCCUGGUUAGUACUUGAAUGAGAGAAUCAAAGAGAAAAGAAAAGCCAACAGCAAGAU